CCUACGGGUGGCAGCAGUGAGGAAUAUUGGUCAAUGGGCGCGAGCCUGAACCAGCCAAGUAGCGUGAAGGAUGACUGCCCUAUGGGUUGUAAACUUCUUUUAUAAAGGAAUAAAGUGAGGCACGUGUGCCUUUUUGCAGGUACCUUAUGAAUAAGGAUCGGCUAACUCCGUGCCAGCAGCCGCGGUAAUACGGAGGAUCCGAGCGUUAUCCGGAUUUAUUGGGUUUAAAGGGAGCGUAGAUGGGUUGUUAAGUCAGUUGUGAAAGUUUGCGGCUCAACCGUAAAAGUGCAUUUGAUACUGGCAGUCUUGAGUGCAGUUGAGGUAGGCGGAAUUCGUGGUGUAGCGGUGAAAUGCUUAGAUAUCACGAAGAACUCCGAUUGCGAAGGCAGCUUACUAAACUGCCACUGACGUUGAUGCUCGAAAGUGUGGGUAUCAAACAGGAUUAGAUACCCUAGUAGUC
rnacentral:rRNA from 1 species